GGGGACCAUGCCCAGCUCAGGACCCCGCGGCAGGAUCGAGCCGCCCUCGCUCCCCCCCCCCCCCAAAGGAUGGGAGACCCCUUUGGCGGCUGGAGGAGCCCCGCGAUGCGGAGGGAGCACGAGGACAGCUCCCCCCUGCGCCACUCCAACAGCUUCGCCCGCCCCACCGGGAAAAGCAUCUACAACCAGCGCAAGGGCUACGGCCGGACCCUGCUCCAGCCCCAGAGCGAUUUCCAGCACCACGUCGAGGUGGGAGCCCCCCAAAUCCCCCUCAAACCGCGCC